UACGUAGGGGGCAAGCGUUAUCCGGAUUUACUGGGUGUAAAGGGAGCGUAGGUGGCAUGGCAAGCCAGAAGUGAAAACCCGGGGCUUAACCCCGCGGAUUGCUUUUGGAACUGUCAGGCUGGAGUGCAGGAGGGGCAGGCGGAAUUCCUGGUGUAGCGGUGAAAUGCGUAGAUAUCAGGAGGAGCACCGGCGGCGAAGGCGGCUUACUGGACGGCAACUGACGUUGAGGCCCGAAAGCGUGGGGAGCGAACAGG
rnacentral:rRNA from 1 species